rnacentral:rRNA from 1 species
GACGAACGCUGGCGGCGUGCUUAACACAUGCAAGUCGAGCGGUAAGGCCCUUUCGGGGGUACACGAGCGGCGAACGGGUGAGUAACACGUGGGUGACCUGCCUUUAGCUCUGGGAUAAGCCUGGGAAACUGGGUCUAAUACCGGAUACGACUCCGCGGUGCAUGCUGUGGGGUGGAAAGCCUUGUGCGGCUGGAGAUGGGGCCCGCGGCCUAUCAGCUUGUUGGUGGGGUGAGUGGCCACCGAGGCGACGACGGGUAGCCGGCCUGAGAGGGCGACCGGCCACACUGGGACUGAGACACGG